rnacentral:rRNA from 1 species
AUGGCUCAGGAUGAACGCUAGCUACAGGCUUAACACAUGCAAGUCGAGGGGCAGCAUGAGAUUAGCUUGCUAAUCUUGAUGGCGACCGGCGCACGGGUGAGUAACGCGUAUCCAACUCCCCCUACUCAGGCAUAGCCCGGUGAAAACCGGAUUAACUCCUGAUAGUUUCACUAGAUGGCAUCUGACGGUGAAUAAAGCUCAGCGGUAAGGGAUGGGGAUGCGUCUGAUUAGCUUGUUGGCGGGGUAACGGCCCACCAAGGCGACGAUCAGUAGGGGUUCUGAGAGGAAGGUCCCCCACAUUGGAACUGAGACACGGUCCAAACUCCUACGGGAGGCAGCAGUGAGGAAUAUUGGUCAAUGGGGCGCGAGCCUGAACCAGCCAAGUAGCGUGCAAGGGACGACGGCCCUAUGGGUUGUAAACUGCUUUUGUAUGGGAAUAAAGUCAGGGACGUGUCCCUGUUUGCAUGUACCAUAAGAAUAAGGACCGGCUAAUUCCGUGCCAGCAGCAGC